CACAGACUACUUUAGAGAGAGAGAGAGAGAGAGAGGAAGAGAGGUUAACACAGACUACUUUAGAGAGAGAGGGAGAGAGGUUAACACAGACUACUUUAGAGAGAGAGAGAGAGAGAGAGAGAGGGAGAGAGGUUAACACAGACUACUUUAGAGAGAGAGAGAGAGAGAGAGGGAGAGAGGUUAACACAGACUACUUUAGAGAGAGAGAGAGGGAGAGAGGUUAACACAGACUACUUUAGAGAGAGAGAGAGAGAGAGAGGUUAACACAGACUACUUUGCUCUGGGGAGAGAGAGUGAGAGAGAGAGAGAGAGAGAGAGAGAGGUACACAGACUACUUUAGAGGGAGAGAGAGAGGUACACAGACUACUUAGCUCUCUAUGAUUUGGAGAGUUGCAGAGAGACGGAGAGAUGAGCAUGACUGUCCAUUUUAGAGCCGUGGGCAGGGCAAGCUGAAGCAGCACGUGUGUGU
ensembl:lncRNA